rnacentral:lncRNA from 1 species
ACAGCAGUUAUUCUUUCAUUUUUGUUCACUAGCAUUGGCUUUUGAAUGGUUUUUGAGAAAAUAAAUGCAUUUUAGUGUUUGCAGUGAAUUAGUAGGCAAUGUCAAAUCGUUGCAGUGUUUUAGAGGACAUUUUAACAGAAUUGACGGCUCUGGCGCAGAUGUUUCAAACAAAAACUUUUGAAAAACAGUGAUAAAUUCCGUUGAUAUUAUAUUAUUUAUCUUGGUCUGUGAGCAUAAACUGUGAAGAAUGGAGUGAGGUUGAGCAAAGUUAUAGCCAGAUCAUUAUCAACUUGUACUUGCAGUCAUGGUAAUGUGGCCGAUUAAAGCAAAUGAUGAACUGAACUUUUUAAAUAGGUAUCUAUAACCUAUCCAAACAGAAGAACAUGCUGAUGCUGUCAAGCUAGAUUUCUCAAUGUAAGCAGUCUGUUCCAAGCACUGUUCUACUGAAAAUGUUCAUCCAGACAUCCGACCAGCAACCUAUCCAGUGAUGCUGUGGCUGAUGGCGGAGGCAAAGCACCAACUGUCCUUGGUGCCUGGUGUGUGCACAAGUAGACGAGUGCCGUUCAUCGCCGCCGUCUUCCUGGACCUUUGCUCAUCGCCGUCGUCUGUCGGGGCCUGCAAUUCGGUCGUCGCCGUCUGCCGGGGCCAGCCAGCUCCAGAUUGAUUCCUGCCUAUCGCCGCCGUUUGCGGGGACCUGCAAUGUCGCUGCCGUCGUCAGCCAGAGAAGCUGGUCACAGUCAUCGAAGAGCAGUGAUCUCCGCCGUUCGAAGAGCUGUGUAAUAUAUAUCAUGUGUUGUCGCCUGUCAGUCCCCAGUGGAGUUCUCAUGUGCCGUCCGUCGACUGGCGAUUCCCAUGAUAUGACAUCUGAGGGUCACCCACCGGCCACCGUUUACCGGCGACUCUGAGGGCCGUCAGCCCCGAGUCCCUAGAUAUCCUCAGCUCGCACCCGGCAGCAGUCUCUGUCGCAUCUGGAGUGUAGUCUAUUCUAAAAUGCUUGAUGCAUUGCGCUGCUUCUUGUGUUAAUCUGCUGGGAAACUUGGAAAGUGUUAACAACGGUAUAUGUGCGAAGUGGAAGCCGUGUAAAGACGUCUGCGUAUUCAUUUCAACGGUGGUUAAUUCGAAGUGAUAUUGGUCGAAA